rnacentral:misc_RNA from 1 species
GAUGAAGAACGCAGUAAAAUGCGAUAAGUAAUGUGAAUUGCAGAAUUCAGUGAAUCAUCGAAUCUUUGAACGCACAUUGCGCCCGCCAGUAUUCUGGCGGGCAUGCCUGAUCGAGCGUCAUUUCAACCCUCAAGCACAGCUUGGUGUUGGGACUCGCGUUAAUUCGCGUUCCCCAAAUUGAUUGGCGGUCACGUCGAGCUUCCAUAGCGUAGUAGUAAAACCCUCGUUACUGGUAAUCGUCGCGGCCACGCCGUUAAACCCCAACUUCUGAAUGUUGACCUCGGAUCAGGUAGGAAUACCCGCUGAACUUAAGCAUAUCAAUAAGCGGAGGA